rnacentral:rRNA from 1 species
UGGGGAAUCUUCCGCAAUGGACGAAAGUCUGACGGAGCAACGCCGCGUGAGUGAAGACGGCCUUCGGGUUGUAAAGCUCUGUGAUCCGGGACGAAAGAGCCUGAGGUAAAUAGCCUAAGGAAGUGACGGUACCGGAAAAGCAAGCCACGGCUAACUACGAGCCAGCAGCCGCGGUAAUACGUAGGUGGCAAGCGUUGUCCGGAAUUAUUGGGCGUAAAGCGCGCGCAGGCGGCUUACUAAGUCCAUCUUAAAAGUGCGGGGCUUAACCCCGUGAUGGGAUGGAAACUGGAAAGCUGGAGUAUCGGAGAGGAAAGUGGAAUUCCUAGUGUAGCGGUGAGAUGCGUAGAGAUUAGGAAGAACACCGGUGGCGAAGGCGACUUUCUGGGCGAAAACUGACGCUGAGGCGCGAAAGCGUGGGGAGCAAACAGG